GGAACGUCCUCCCUCUGCGUGCCGAGGGGGCUGGAAGGAGGGCAGCCCGUGAAGAGGAGCGGUAGCAGAAGGUGAGCGCUCGCAGCACGGCUGCUCUCGAGCUGCCGCUGCGUGCCCGGUGCUGCUGGUGACGUGCUCCACGGAGAGGCAGUUCACCCGUGUGACUGAGAGCACUGGAAAACAGUUACUUAGUAAAGGCUGCCUCUGCAUAGUUAAGAGACUUCCUGCAAGUACACGGCGCAGCUCUUCUCCCUGGCCUGGUCUGAUUCACUUAGGAGAGGCCGAAGGAACCGGUCUUGUUUCAAGAGACAUUUACACGAGGCCUGGAAUUUCACUUAACAAAAAUUUUUAUGUAAUAGAUCCAGUGGCCUAGUUUCACCUUCAUUAAGAAAAUAGGCGCUAAAUGUGCUCACCUGGAAAGCAACUGCCGAUUUCAACAUUAGGAUGUGAAAGCAGUGGUCUCGGUGCCGUGGCUGGCAGAGCAAAACGAAGGCCCGGUUCCCCCCCGCGCUGAAGUUCAGCAGCACGUCUGGGGACGCGGCAGCGAGGGCUGUCAUUGCUCGUGCAGCGCUGGCUUUUGUUGUGGUGUGCUAAUUGAGGGGAAACGCGAUGAAGAACUGCGGCAGGGCUUAAAGGAAACGCGUGUCAGAAUUGCGGAGGGGCUGCAGCGCUGGCUGGGUGCAGGGCUGUGUGGCAGCUGUAGGGCUGCCUGGGGGCGCACCGGGUUGGGGCGGCCGCUGCACAGGUACGGUCUGGGCGCCCUGCGCAGCUCGGGUGGCAGAUGGAGCUGUAGGUCUCCUUGGAGGUACCCGUACCGACUCUGCUCUAACAAAUACCGACACAAUUAGCUGAAGAGGCAGCAGUCUGACUGGCUUGGCACAGGUAAACGCUGCAGCUUGCUGAAACGACGUGCUGUAUUCCAGUGAGUACUCCAUAGGAAGUUGUAUGCUUUGCUCAGCCUGAGCUUGCGAGCUGAAAAUCCUGAUCUCAUUCGGUUUUACUCAGGCAGAGGCACAGCGAUUUGGGAUCUGAUGUCAUACGCGCAUCUCGUUCGGCGGUUUGCAUUUUUCUAUGAGCUGAAGUUUUUCACACGGUUCUGGCUUAGCUGAUAGAUGAUGGAUGCUUUUACAUGUAAGAAACUUCGCAGUCUCCCGACCUCUGUAGAAAGGCAGAAACUGGAUCUGUGAGUGCAAUUCCUUUUUGAUCCCCCUGCGAACACUGAGAGGGUAAUGCUGGAUGCUUUCUGUUUUUCCCCUAAAAGCUGUAGUCUGAGAUGGCUCUGAAACACAUGCAAAUCUGUGUGCGUGUAUUGGUCCCAGCCUGCAAAGUUGCUUCAGCACACGUCCCAGCGAGGGUUUUGCUGAAUGAGGAUUGAUUAAAGAACCUAUCUGGAGUUAAUCACGCCGCAGGCCGAGCCAGACGGGCGAGCAAUACAAGCUGUGAAUUUAUCGUUGACACCUGCAGGACAGUGACCACCUUCGCCGUCGUCUUCGCCAUACAGAGAUGCGCUGUCAGUGAGAUCCUGGAGCCCAGGAAAGAGUUUUAAUGCAAAGCAUCAGAAAAAAAAAAACCGCUGCAGCAUCUCAUGUGAGAGAGGGGAGAGAAGAAAGGAGACUCGCGCAGUAACAUCUCAAAACACUCAAAUGGUUUGAGGGACAGGUGAUGCUGCUUAGGAAUCUAACGAACCCAAACUUGCCGUAUAUUUUGGAGUACAGCAUUUCUUGUGUAGCGACUAAAGAAAGGAAAACAAAACAGCC
ensembl:lncRNA